rnacentral:tRNA from 1 species
GUCGAUAUGUUCGAGUGGUUAGAGAGACAGACUGGAAAUCUGUUGGGCUUCGUCCGCGCAGGUUCGAAUCCUGUUGUCGAUG